rnacentral:lncRNA from 1 species
GUGUUAACCAAUACACGUAGUGGGAUACCCCUGCAUGGCUAAUGGAAGCGUAGUUAUGCCGAUGGGGACUGCUGUAUUACCAACACCGUCUAAUAAAUACUCGGUAUCGUGUCUCAUUAUUGCUGACAUAGAUAUACUUGUAUCAAUGAUUAUUGAGUUUGAUUUUUUUAAAAUAAAAGUCCAUGUGUAUAUUGGAUAAGGGAAAGAG